rnacentral:lncRNA from 10 species
AAACGGCUGGGUAGGAAGCACGCUAGCAGGGGCCUCUGGCCUUGCUGAGGGUCCCUGUUUCCCCUUUUCCUUCCUUUUCACCCAACAAAACCCUGCUUUACUCACCCUUCAAACCAUCUAUGAGCCUAAAUUGUCGUGGUCGUGGAAUGGACAAGGACCCAGUCUUUAGCUGAACUAAGGGAAAGUCCUGCUUUUUGGCGCGCAACAGGGGAGCUCAAGAAACAGUGAGUGAAAUGGGGACUCAAAACCUCUCACUGUUGAUCCUAAGCAUUUUCAUCCUCAGACUACUGAGGGUGGGGGAAACACGACCCCAAACUCCGUUGCUCCGUUGGGGGUCGUCGGGGGAAAGGCCUUUUCCUUCCUUUUUCAGGACAGACAGGAAAGCCGGGGCUCCUCACUCCCCCUCCCCUCUGUGCCCGGGACGGGAUGCAUGGCCCAAGGGUCCCACACAGCUGGCUAGAUGGUUCUCAGACACAAGCCACCGCAGCCUUCCUUUUCCCCUGCCAGGGGGUUAAACUUUAUCAGAGAGUAAUUAAGCUUUAACCCUGCUGUUGAAAUCACUUGCAGACGAAUAAGAAGUUCUUCCCCAGGCAUUUUUAAACCUUUUUUCACUCCCCUUUUCCACCUCCUCAACAAGUAAACCCUUAAAGUUUUUUUUUUGUUUGUUUGUUUGUUUUUUUUUAGAAGACACUUUACUAGGCCACUCCCUCUGCUCCCCAGCUAUCACUGUAUGCUCUGCAAAGUUUUGCUUGUGAAAUAAAUCCUCUAUUUUGUUUUACAUCCUGAGGCCAUGGCUUAUAACUCUGGCGGCAAGGAUUUGUUUAGCAAUCCUGCCUUAGGGGAUGAGCCCUCUCUAAUUCAAUAUCUGCAUGUCCCCUGUCUCUUAAAGGGCCUCACUCACGGCAUAUGGAACUAACCACGCCCCUAACUAAGAAGGCACACCUUAGUUGCAGUUAGCACACAAUUAAAGCAACUCUCCAAGUUUUACCUUAAAGUUCAAAAUUGCUAGGAGUUGAAACUACUAGAAAUAUAUUUACAUGCAAGAGUCAAAGAAACUUUGAACUAUUUAUGGCCUUUAAUAAUUAAGUAAGGUAUACUCCUGUGAUCAAGACUUGGAGCAUAUUUGUUUCUCUCUGCCUGGUUCCUCUAGAAAUUGGAAACUAUCAGAACAGAGACCAACUCCGUUUCCCGAUCCCUUUGCAAUCUGCAUUGAACCAUGAGUCAAGUUCUUGAUAAAGGAGUGAAAAUGUGUGUGACACAUGUGCUCAUGGAUUAUUGUCCGAAGCAAGACAUGUGACCAAGCCUAACAUCAACUGGGUGAAGAGCUAUAUGUUCCUUUCUCAAGAGGCACUACAAGUGACAUGCCACUGG